ensembl:lncRNA
UGAUAAGGAACUUCACACACUCACAUGGAUAAUGGCACUGUUUCAGUCACAAGGGUUAUCAAUACUUCUGUUGAUCAUCAGAACACAGUUUGCUGGUGCUGAGUCUUGUUCUCAUGUAGAUGCGCCACAAUUCAUCACAGCUACUCAGGAAGAGGUAGCUGUCCUCCCCUGUUUCACAUCAAUCCACAAAGAUUUAGCAAUCAGAGUGAAAUGGACAAAACUUUCACUUAAACCUGAGGACAUCUUGGUGUGGCCUGAUAAUCCAUCUGUGGCCCAUAAAUCAGAACGUGUGGCCUUCGAGUCGGGAGCGGAUGUUGUGGUGGCUGGAAACCUGUCCCUGUCUCUAAGAGAUGUAAGGAAAUCUGACGAAGGGCUUUAUAGUUGCACGGUCUGGUUGGGAUGGAGUUGUGUCCAUGUGAAAAACAUCACUCUAAAAGUGAAAGAAUGCAAAAUUCUACAUUCAGUUAUGGCAGCACACAAUGGGAUAGCUACCCUGCCUUGCCUGUUGAACAUGACAACAGGAAAUCCCCAAAUAUCAUCGGUGACCUGGGCAGAGAUCAAGGGAGACAGUGAGAUCCAAAUACUUCAAUACCCUACAGAUAUCUCCAACCAAACAUUCCUAGGAAAAAGGGUGAGCUUUGGAGGGAAUCUCAGUUCAGGAGAUGCAUCUUUGGCUCUUUCCAUGGUGGAGUACAGUCACAGCCAAUGGUACAGAUGUAGGUUGCAGAUGGGACAAAAUGAACGCUGCUUUGAGGUCAAGCUGCAGGUUAAAGAACAGGAAGAGAACCUGGUUGUUCGGACUUUCACCACAACUGAACUAACAAACCCUAUUACUGCCAGGGGGAGUCCAGAAAGAGUUGCGACUGCUACAGUUGGAACGGCUACUAUAGCGGCUUCAUCCAUGUGUGUGAUUGUCAUAAUGGCUCUUACGCUGGGAUUGAUAAUUUGCCUCAGACGCCGCAGACACUCAGAUGGAGAUGAGUCUGACUGGAAUACUUAUGAAGAUGUACAAGACCCAGCAACGGGACCCAAUUGUCUGUAUUCACUUGCAGAGUUUGACCAGAAGGACAACCUAGGCACUUUUCAAUGCCAGUGAAAAGAAUAAUCAUCUUCCAAUCAACACACCAUGUCUUACCGAACCCUUCACAAAACAUCUGUAAAUGCUUUUUUAUGAUAUUCACCUACUUAUCUUUCAACCCCUGGUAUAGCCUACAUAGUAUUACACAAUAACAAUCUUAUCUUUCAACCCCUGGUAUAGCCUACAUAGUAUUACACAAU